ACCAAAAACCAAAAAAAAA
rnacentral:sRNA from 1 species